UCAGACGGUUGGAUGACCGCUCCCCGCCUUCGGGCGGGGGGAGGAAAGUCCGGGCUCCACGGAAGCACGGUGCCGGGUAACGCCCGGCGGGGGCGACCCUAGGGAAAGUGCCACAGAAAGCAAACCGCCCAUGCGCGCCCCGCGACCCGACGGGUUCCCCUUGGGGUUCCCCACGCGGGGCAGGCGGCGGGUAAGGGCGAAAGGGUGCGGUAAGAGCGCACCGCGCCCCCGGCAACGGGGGCGGCACGGUAAACCCCACCGGGAGCAAGACCGAGUAGGAACGGCGCGCGGGCUUCGGCCCGCAGGCGGGCUUUCGCGCUGUCGUUCGGGUGUGUCGCGCGAGGCGUUCGGUAACGAACGUCCCAGAUGAAUGGUCAUCCAUCGCCUUCGGGCGGGGACAGAACCCGGCUUACAGACCGUCUGAUCUC
rnacentral:RNase_P_RNA from 1 species